AUUGCUUCUCGGCCUUUUGUCCAAGAUCAAGUGUAGUAUCUGUUCUUAUCAGUUUAAAAUAGCAUUGAAAUGAGAAUCUUAGUACAUGUAUCUUUGCAUGCUUUAAUAAUUUUCACAGAAGAGGCUCCUAUAAGUAAUAUUAUGGUACUAAUUUACACUUUCACAAAUUUAAAAUAAUUCUUGUACUGCCAAA